AACGCGCAAAGAAAAUGGAAAAAAGAUAGAAACCAAACUGAAUUCUAAAAAAUGUUUUUUUCUAAAGAAAUUUUUUAUCCCUCUUCUCUCUCUCUCUCUCUCUCUCUCUCUCUCUCUCUUUCUGUCUCUCUUUCUGUCUCUCCCUCUCUCUCUUUCAUCCUCAUGAUCCUCAUCCGCCCAAAAAAAAAUGCUAAUCGAAAUAAUUAAUAUGUUCAAAGAGCGAGAUUCUAAGCAAAAGAAAAAGAGAAAUUUACAAUCUGUUACGUAGACCUUAUUCUUUUUUUACUCGUUUAACAUCUCCCUCGAUUUCCCUUUGAUAUCCUUGAAAGGGAACAUCGAUUAUUCGAGUUACUCUUGAAAGAAAAGUUUUAUCUUUUAAUGAAAACAUUGAGAAAAGCGAAUUUCAGAGAUGGAAAGGGUUCGUUUCGAAAGUAUUAACUUUUUUUAUAUUUUGUUUUACAUACCAAACUUUUCUCAGAGUUUACUACUCGUUUUAUUUACUUUGAAAUUACUAUUGAAAUAUUUAUUUUAAUAUUUUGAAAAAUACAUUUUUAUAUUUAUCUUCAAUAUUAUAUAUUAAUUUUAUCAAAUAUAAAAAAAGAUUUCAUUUGCAAUUUCGUAAAUCUUUUGAUCAUUUAAGACCAAACAGUUAAACCAAAGAUAAACGACUUUCCGUGUUUCUUCAUGGAUUAUUUAUUUUUAUUUCGAGCAUGAACCAAACGAAAACUUUUCUUCCUGACUCUUUCAUUCUUCCUCUCUUUUUACGUUUCACCAUUUUUCGUAUUUUCUCCCUCGCUCUAUCUCUCUCUCUCUCUCUCUCUCUCCCUCUCUCCCUCCCUCUCUUUUCCUUGCAAAAAAGAAAUAAUGAUAUUAGAUCGAUCGAGAAUACCGAAUGAGUGAAAUCGUUCGUGAACACAUCCCCUAUCCUUUAAAUAAUUUCUCUCGUAGAACAUCGUCCCUCUACACGCACACACUUGUACCUUCCCUUUAUCCCAUUCUUACUCUCAAUUAUUUCUUCUUAUUCCCUCACCUUUAACGAUAAAGAAUAAUAAAUAAAGGAAAGAAAGGAAGAAAAAAAAAAAGAAAAAAAAAAAAAACUUAUUCUAUCGUAGUAAUAUCACACAACUACUACUUUUAAGCGCUGCGAAUCUUGAAAAAAAAAAAUAAUGCUAACUCUAAAUAAUAAUACCGUUAUAUUUACCGCUACUUGUACCGCGCUAUUAUUAACACUUAGUAUUUACUUAUCUAUCGUUAAUAUCGUUACUAUACUUACAGCAGCCUGCGAUACUUUUCCGUCUAAAAGCAUGUAAUUCGACAGAAAUUAACACAUAACACAUACAUACAUACGUACAUACAUGUAUACAUGAAUACAAGGUGUUGAUCUUUCAAUACGUACACCCACGUAUACAAUAAAGGAUGUAAAUCAGUAUUGAACUGAAUGGCACACGAACGUACGUAUAUAUACAUAUAUAUAUAUGAACGUAUAUAUACAUAUAUAUACGUACAAAGGAACGUAAAUGUCACAUUCUCACACGCAUACUUACACCUAUUACGCACAGAUAAGAAAAAUGAAUAAGAGAGGGAAGGAAAAAAAUCACGCGUAGAUUCGCGUGUGGGUACACUGAACAACAACAACAACAACAACAACAACAACAACAACAACAACAACAACAACAACAACAACAACAACAACAACAACAACAACAGCAACAACAACAACAACAACAACAACAACAACAACAACAACAACAACAACAACAAAAACAAUAACAAUAACAAUAACAACAACAACAACAACAACAAUAACAAUACACGUCAAGAUCUUUGUUUUACGAACUUUCUGUGAUAAUUAUUAACAAUCACUAAAUACGAAGAGUCAUGGGGUAGGCAGCUGGAAAAAAAGAACGCGAAGAGAAAUGAACGAACGAAUGAAAAUUACAUAGAAAUGAAGAAACGUGAAGAUGAACGAAUUAAGAGAUUUUGAUUCGUUCGACGUGAUAAGAUGCGGAUUAGAAAAGAAAGGAAAUAUAAGGAUUAGAGAGAAAUAUAAGCGAUAUAGAGAAAUAUAACCGCGCAAGAUGGCAAGAUUCCGUUUUAGAGCGAUAUUGUUGUUUCGUAGUUUGUUGACGAUGAUCGACCGAUUUCUUGACGAAAAAGCAAUUAAGCUUUUCAAUUUGCAAACAAGAAUCGCGAUCUCAAAGCCGUUGCUCGGUUACUCACGAAAAUCUAAGCGCAUUGUUAUUUUGUAUGGUCCCAUGCGUUUUUUCUAAAUGAUGAUGACGACAUCGUAACACACGAUAUGUGUGUGUUUAUGCGUCUGAUAAAUAUUAAUAAAAAUAAUUUCAAGCACA